AUUGAACGCUGGCGGCAUGCCUUACACAUGCAAGUCGAACGGUAACGCGGGGCAACCUGGCGACGAGUGGCGAACGGGUGAGUAAUGCAUCGGAACGUGCCCAGUUGUGGGGGAUCACCGCUCGAAAGAGGAGCUAAUACCGCAUACGACCGGAGGGUGAAAGCGGGGGAGCGCAGGACCUCGCGCAAUUGGAGCGGCCGAUGCCGGAUUAGCUAGUUGGUGGGGUAAAGGCCCACCAAGGCGACGAUCCGUAGCUGGUCUGAGAGGACGACCAGCCACACUGGGACUGAGACACGGCCCAGACUCCUACGGGAGGCAGCAGUAGGGAAUUUUGGGCAAUGGGCGCAAGCCUGAUCCAGCCAUGCCGCGUGCGGGAAGAAGGCCUUCGGGUUGUAAACCGCUUUUGUCAGGGAAGAAAUCUUCUGGGUUAAUACCUCGGGAGGAUGACGGUACCUGAAGAAUAAGCACCGGCUAACUACGUGCCAGCCGCCGCCGUAACAC
rnacentral:rRNA from 1 species